UACGUAGGGUGCGAGCGUUGUCCGGAAUUAUUGGGCGUAAAGGGCUCGUAGGCGGUUUGUCGCGUCGGGAGUGAAAACCCAGGGCUUAACUCUGGGCUUGCUUUCGAUACGGGCAGACUAGAGGUAUGCAGGGGGAGAACGGAAUUCCUGGUGGUAGCGGUGAAAUGCGCAGAUAAUCAGGAGGAACACCGAUGGCGGAAAGGCCAGGUCUCUGGGCAU
rnacentral:rRNA from 1 species